CACUCUGCUCCUGGGAUCAGCCUACAGCACAAACCCCUGGAAAAGGGACAGCUGCAGAACAAAGCUAGGGAGGAACACCAACUUGCCGAAGUAGAGCCCGUCAUCUGCCUGGGAGGAGCAGGCAGCCCAGGGAGCCGGGAGAGCCAUGCCGGACUCCUUCGCCAUCCACUUCCUCAAGGUGCUGCGGGAGCUGCUGGCCUUUGUGCUGUUCAGCUACACGGUGCUGCUCGGGGCGCUGCUGCUGGCUGGCUGGACCACCUACUUCAUGGUGCUGAAAUGAGGGCUCUGCUCCUGCUCCUGCUCCCACAGGCUUUCCAACGCAGCUGCACACACAGGAUGGGAGCCCCUUCCCCCUGCGCCAAACCCGCAGCAGUUCUGUGCUCUGGCUGCCUCGUCGCGGUCUUGUUUUCCUGUGUAAAAACAAUAAAGGUUAAAAGAAAAGCUAUCCCCCAGUAUGCACUUUA